CGCGGAGUGGCCGAGUGGCAGCGCGGCGGACUCAUAAUCCGCAGGCCGCGGGUUCGAUUCCCGCCUCCGCUACCA
rnacentral:tRNA from 1 species